CCCUUGGUGAGGACUCGGGAGGUGGAGGGUGGCGCCGCCAAGGCCAGGGCACUGUCUCAGCUCGCUUCUCCCCCCACCUCCUCUCUCCUCAGGUGCGGCUGCAG
rnacentral:pre_miRNA from 1 species